ACAUGGAUAGAUGGAUGGAUGAUACUCUCUGUAUUAGUUGUGAAAUGGAAUGGUAUUCCUAGAUUAAUGAAUGUACAAUUGUUUUAACAAGUAAACUUCAACAGCAACUAGUGUUAACAUGUACAAGAGGUUUUAGAGUGGGAACAUCCAAAACAUGUAAGGACAAUGAGCACAGGCGUCCUCUAUUAAGCAACACGUGUUUGGAGUGGUCUGAUCAGUCAGACCUGGUGAGGGCUGCAGUGUAGAUCACCCUGGGCCUGACGGGUCAGUAGCAGCAGUCCAGGAGGGAGCGAGGCAGAGGGGGACUGAGAUUGGUGUUGAAGCGAGCUCCGCUGGCGCCAAGCAGAAACACGCUGAUUGCUCAUCGUCCUGAGGGGUGUAAAUCUGACCAAACCUGAGCAACAACCAGCCGACCGGCCAAACAUCCCCUAUACUGAUCAUAAGAGAAGAUUUACAACCAGGAAUAACUCCCUGCUCCCCCUCAUGCAACUAUUUACUCAUUAAAUGUUGAUUGUUAUUAUUUUCUGGCCAGGGGGGCUAUGUGUUGCUGGACACAUUAAUUGCCGUGUCUGACCUGCAACGUCUUAGGCAACUGGCUAGUCCACAUUAGCCCUGAAGCCCGUCUAUCUGUGUUAGAUGUUGUAAUCACAGCAAUUCGAACCACGUAGUUUCAUUCAGCACUUGGCAUGGGUACGGAGUGACAGCCUGGCAUGGGCAUGAGAGGGCGACACCAGAUGAGGUUUCAGAUCCUAAUCCCAGCAUGCUCUCUGUCUGUCUCUCUGCUCUGUCUCAGGUCCGACUCGGACGGAACGACACCAAACCGCCUGCACCGGAUCUGGAGGAUGUAUUAUACCUCCACAGUAUGGUCUCUGUUUGAUGACCUCACACAAUAGCACUGUGCUCAAAUAGGUGUUACGCUCACAAAUCAGUCCUCUCAGACAGACUAAUGUCCCAGAACUUGGUGCUAGCAGAGCAAUCCAAACACAUUUCCUUUAUUACAACAGUAGACUGCUGGUUUGGACAUCACCCAAAAAGCCCUUAUCCAAAUGUUUUCCUAUACAUUUCUUCAGCUUGUUUGUUGCUUUUAAGAGUUUAUUGAGUGGUCUAAAGCUAUUGGUAAUCAUUAUAUUUAGUGCUCUUUGAUGGAUAGCAAACGUGAGUAAAUAGGCAAAACAUGUGAUGCACGUUCUAUGGGAGUUAGCUAAUUAAUAUUUCCAAAAAUACAAUAUUGGCAUGAAAAGGCCUUACGAUCUGGAAAUUGCUCUUAGUCCUUUGUGUUGAUGUUCGUAGUCUUUGUAGGUUAAUACUGAAUCAAAAGUUUCAUAUCAACUAUUGAAAUGUAUUUUUCCAGGAGUGGACCUGGAGCCCAUGAGCACACAAAUGAUAGACUGUGGUUUGUCUACUGCUACAAGGUCUUCAAUGGGAGCAAGGAACAGCCUUAUGUGAACCCCAAAGCCCCAGUACACGUCAUCACAGGCUCUGCUGUAAGUAGCCUACUGCUUUGACCUCUCCUUUUCACAUUCAGUAGGUGGUGAGCUGUGGUAUUCAAACAGCUAUGUAUCUGGUGCACAAUUAAAUAAACUGUUUUCAUCUGUAUAAAUGCUGUCUGAUGUGGCAGUCAACAAAGCAGGGCACUCUUGGUCAUCUAACCAUAGAUGAGUUAGUCAUCCUCAUAUCGAAGUGGUGUCAGGACAGCACCAGAGCCACAGUCCUGUGGGAGGCACGUGGCUCUCCACAAACAGAAUAUUAACCUUUGACUGGAAACAGAAGACAGGACACUAUAGACGAUCAAAGAAGGAUUGUGAAGUAGCAUAGAAAGGAAAAACACUGCUUCUCAGCCUGGUUCUGAAGACCCUACCCAGGACCUUCUACCCUGGACCCCGAACCAAUCAAAUCAACAUCUCUUCUCAGGAAACGCACUUUAACAACCUAAUCAUUGUGAACUGCACUGUUAGCUGCUAUCGGACCAAUCAAAGGACAUUACUAUUCUCCCAAUAAUGGAAAUCUAUGGAAAUCUUCGCACACAGGCCCAGCCGUGGAGGACCGUUUGUGAUUAGACACACAUGUUUCAGAUUGGGAGGAAGGGCGAAUCUUCAGAUUUCAAACUCUGUCUACUCAGAUGUAUGCUGUUUACUUUUCUUUAGAAAAUGGGUUAUUCCAGAAUCAUGAUGGAAUGAGUGAAUCAGCUGAGAACAGUGGGAGAGGCACAAACCUGAGGUGAAGGGUAUUUGAUCGAUCACAAUAAUAACUCCGUACAACUUAAAGCUUCACUCAGAUGAAAAACAAUGUGCUUCGUUUCCCCUGACAAAUGGUGAUAAGGGGCCUACUAUUUAUAACCGUCUACUCAAAUGUCAUAGAUGUUUAUGUACACUAUCUGUUGAAAAUGUCUAACUUCAGUUAAAAUGUCAUGUUAGUGAGAAUGGAAUAAACAAACUGGUGUUUAAAGCACCAGUAGGAAAAUA